rnacentral:lncRNA from 1 species
GACAUGCUGGGCACCCCCAGCCAGUCGAGGCCCCGGGUGGCCGCCCGACGAGUCGGUGCUGGACUGGCGCGAGUGCGAGCCCGAAUCAGGCUCCUUAAAGAAAGACUCCGGCAGGAUCUUCUUCCGCCACGAGCUAGGCUUCGGAUUCAUGACAGAGUUGAAGAGGGCUUCGAGGUCUGUGUCUAGGUCCUGCGUGACGUGGAUCACUUGCUGCCCAGGCGGCGGGAGCGGAGGGGGCGCCGAGGCCGGAUUCAUCUUCUGCAAAAAGAAGGAUGGCAAAGGAAAGGUCGCACGAUUCCAGGACAGGCAGCCCCCCGAAAGAAGUUCAGCCCGAGCCAACUCCACCACGUCUCGACUCCGGAAGCCCGAGGAGCCUGGAGCCCUGGAGUGGUGCCGGAUGAGCGCGCGAGCUCCAGCGGGCACUACCUGGGCGGGCAGCGAAGCUGAGCCUGAGCGCGCGGCGGCCGC